rnacentral:rRNA from 1 species
CCUACGGGUGGCAGCAGUGAGGAAUAUUGGUCAAUGGGCGAGAGCCUGAACCAGCCAAGUCGCGUGAGGGAGUACUGCCCUAUGGGUUGUAAACCUCUUUUGUCGGGGAGCAAAAGCCGGACGUGUUCGGCUGUGAGAGUACCCGAAGAAAAAGCAUCGGCUAACUCCGUGCCAGCAGCCGCGGUAAUACGGGGGAUGCGAGCGUUAUCCGGAGUUAGUGGGUUUAAAGGGUGCACAGGCGGGUUUUUAAGUCAGCGGUCAAAUCGUGGGGGUUAACCCCCUCCAGCCGUUGAAACUGGGGGUCUAGAGUGUGAGAGAGGUAUGCGGAAUGCGUGGUGUAGCGGUGAAAUGCAUAGAUAGCGCGCAGAACCCCGAUUGCGAAGGCAGCAUACCGGUGCACAACUGACGCUCAGGCACGAAAGCGUGGGUAUCGAACAGGAUUAGAUACCCCUGUAGUC